GUUUCAGCAUUACCUAGAAUGGGGAAUAGUACGCAUUUGGUUUAAAAAAAAGUAGGAGAAAGGAAGACAGCUCUAUUGUUGUCUUUUAAUUAAUUUUUAACCUGCCUAAUUCAAAAAAAAAGGAAGUGAGGGAGCAGGGGUGCCGUGUGUAAUGUGCUGUGCUUAAUGCUGCCUUUCCUGUACUCCCACGGCCCACAGGACACCGUGGGGAUGCAGCGAUUUGGACUUCAUCCGCCUGUGCUCUAAUUCAAAGACAAACAUAUUUCCCAACUUGCCCAAGGCUCUGGCAGGGAGAACUCGGAUCCCCAAACUCAGGUCAUUCUAGUGCAGCAAUAACCAGCUGGGUUUUCAGCAACUUGGAUGGAGCCAUCUGUUUUCCCAGCCCACAUAAAAAAUAUGCAGGAGAAGGCUGCAAAUCAGCAAAUCCAUAGCUUCCAGAGGACCCAGCUGGGAUGCGUCCUCCCUGUGGGGACUAAUGAAAGGUAAAUCCAGUGUCAAAAGACAGGCCAGCAGCCAGGGUGAGGGGCUACGGGACAGCAGACUCUCCUCCCUUUUCUGUUUUUUGUGGAACAGGGCCCAUCUGGCUCCCUGGCCGUGGUGCCAUCAUGCCUGGGUGAGGGGCAGCCCGGUGCAUGCUGAGUGCCCGGAAAAUUACCAGCAGCCUCUGCCUCUCCCUCCAGGGGCACUGGAACUGGCCACAUAGGAACGCUCUUCUCCUUGGUCAGCUGACUGCCUGGCCAACUCUCCAGUGUUCACAUAACGAGCCUGGCGAGUCCAGGUGGCCAGGAAUAGAGGGGCUUUUUGUACUGUGAUCUUAGAGAAGGGAGCCCCGUAGCCUUUCCCACAUACCCCCCUUUCCUUUCCUACCACUCCACAUCAUAGAGGGGAAUUUAGAGCCAUGCUGGCUCCCAACAAACACAGAGGACAGUGGAUUCCACAUGAAAGGAGGAAUAAAAUGGGGGUGCUGUUACCCAGCCACCCAGGUGCAGAUGGCUUUUGGCAGCCCAGGACCAGGCUGUGAUUGAGAAGGGUCUGUCUCGAAGCCAUUACAGUUAAUUGUCCCAGAGUCACAGAAUCAUCAGCAGGCAAAAAGCCAACUCCAAAUCCCCAGGGAAUUUUCUGAUGGAUUAAUAAACAAAGUGGUGUGCACAGAAGGCAGCUGGUUCUCUGUGAAGAAGUGAUAUCAUUAUUUCUUCAUUCUUCACUCCUAGACCUGAUGCCUAUUUUACACCCUCACAUCUUGGAAGGCAUCUGUCCAACAGGAGUCUGGGUCAAGGGAAAUACUCUGCCCCCUUGUUUUUAUCUGUUAGCAUAAACAUGUCCACCAUGGGACUAGUGCAUUUUUCAUAACCCCUGGUUGAUCUUGGAAAAACACAUUUCAACCAGGUCACUUUCUUGACUCUGUUGGCAUUCCUCCUUAAGCCAAAUUGUGCAGAUGAACACAGAGGCAACCUUGACUGCCAUGAAUGGCGUCACCCCCAUCGACCUAUAGAAAGCCCUUCGGCAACCAGGCGCUGGAACAAUAGCAUAAUUGACCCCAACGGUGGCUGGAGCAGGAUCUGCUCAUUACAGCUAGUGCCCAGGAGAGCAGCAGGACAGUCCUGGGCUUCAACUCUAACUUCCUUUUCCAGCUUCUUUGUCUUCAGUUUUUCCAUAAAGAUCUCUGUCAUUACUUCUGAGAAGCAGGAGUGGUCUCAGAAAACUAUCCUGCUCCUUGGUAUGAACGUCCUACAGGUCCACACUGCCCCACAAACUGCCAGCUCAGAGCAGAGGAAGGGAACUGCAAAUCUGCUGCAGUCACUCCACCAUGAUGGGGCCCGGAUUUGUCUGUCCUUGAUGGCUGUGAAUUUUCAGUGCUUUGAAGCCCUCUCCAGGCUGUUUAUCCCCAACAAGUACAAGUCAAUGAAAAAGUAAACAGUUUUGACUUCACAAAUGAAGAAGAUGAUGUGCUUUAAAAACCAAAACAACAACAACAACAACAACAAAAAAAAAAAAACCCAGUGAACUAAUGAUGCAGGAAAAUGUUUUUUCUGGGCUGUUAGCUGUUUAAAG
rnacentral:lncRNA from 1 species